UCUUCAUGCUUUGUGCUAUGACAUGCCAUUUGGACUGGAGUGAUGGAUCAUGCACUGUUUUCAUAAACUAGAUUCAAAAUCUCGCAAUAAUCUGUCUUUUGACAAGCAAUCUAACAAAUCAUACCUUUAUUUACAGGAUGUUGUAGUAUGUGAAACACUGAGGCCUUUGCAAGGCCAAAUUCCAAGGUCAAGGUCAUGAAGUCUUGUCACAAGGAACACACAAGAGAGAGGAGAAAAUCUUUUGGCUGGACCGAGAAUCGAACCUGGGACCCCUGCAUUACUAGUCAGGUGCUCUAACCACUGAGCUCUCCAGGCCGAUAUCCACGGCUAUUGGUGUGAAUACAACAUUGAUGUGGGAUUAAAUCGGAGUACCCAGAGGAAACCGGAGUAACCAGAAGAAACCGGAAUACCCAGAAGAAACCGGAGUACCCAGAGGAAAUUAGGGUACCCGGAGGAAACUGGAGUACCCAGAGGAUAUCUAUAUCCAAAGACAACCAAAGUACCCAGAGGAUAUCUGUACCCAAACCGGAGUACCCAGUGGAAAUUAGGGUACCUGGAGGAAACUGGAGUACCCAGAUGAUAUCAGUACCCAAUAUUUACCUGACACAAAAAACAAACCUGAAUUUUUUUUUCAACUUAACUUCAUUUCAAAGCAGAGACUGUGACAGUUCAAACCAUAAAGAUAUAUACAGCAUGAGUUCUUACCCAAUAACAAUGUGGCUGUCAGUGGACAGAGAGUGAAUUCCGGACAGUCCAGCAGUAUUCCGGACACCAGUGAACAGCAGGACCCCACCAAAUCCUGUACUACCUUAACUCUACAAUAAAAAACAAUCCAUGUACAACUUAACUUUACAAUAAAAAACAAUCCAUGUACAACUUAACUCUACAAUAGAAAACAAUCCAUGUACAACUUAACUCUACAAUAGAAAACAAUCCAUGUACAACUUAACUCUACAAUAAAAAACAAUCCAUGUACAACUUAACUCUACAAUAAAAAACAAUCCAUGUACAACUUAACUCUACAAUAGAAAACAAUCCAUGUACAACUCAACUCUACAAUAAAAAACAAUCCAUGUA